AUUGAACGCUGGCGGCAGGCUUAACGCAUGCAAGUCGAGCGGAGUGAUGGUGCUUGCACUAUCACUUAGCGGCGGACGGGUGAGUAAUGCUUAGGAAUCUGCCUAUUAGUGGGGGACAACAUCUCGAAAGGGAUGCUAAUACCGCAUACGUCCUACGGGAGAAAGCAGGGGAUCACUUGUGACCUUGCGCUAAUAGAUGAGCCUAAGUCGGAUUAGCUAGUUGGUGGGGUAAAGGCCUACCAAGGCGACGAUCUGUAGCGGGUCUGAGAGGAUGAUCCGCCACACUGGGACUGAGACACGGCCCAGACUCCUACGGGAGGCAGCAGUGGGGAAUAUUGGACAAUGGGGGGAACCCUGAUCCAGCCAUGCCGCGUGUGUGAAGAAGGCCUUAUGGUUGAAAAGCACUUUAAGCGAGGAGGAGGCUCUUUUGGUUAAUACCCAAGAUGAGUGGACGUUACUCGCAGAAUAAGCACCGGCUAACUCUGUGCCAGCCGCCGCCGUAA
rnacentral:rRNA from 1 species